CGCCGCCUCGCGCGCUGCCUCGCUCGCUGCCCGGACUUCCCGUCUCCCGCCCGAGCUCCCCGCGCCGCCGCCGCCGCCGCCAGCAGCGCGCCUCAACCGGGCGCGCUCCUCGCGCGGAGCCACAGCGCUGCCCCCGCUUAACUCCUUACGUGCCACCUGGCCCUCCUGCAGCCGUCCGCGGAGCCAGGCAACUCUCCGCCAGCACAGAAUCUUACUGUUUCUUGGCCCAAGUCUGCUGCAGGACUCACGGAGGAGAGUGAAGAAACAAAGCCAUCUUUGAAAUCAAUUAUAAAGACCAAAACAAUGAUGUAAGAGAGCUUCUGUGAAGAGAGAACACAAGCAGGGGGAGCAUCACAGCGAGAGGGAGAAGCAGGCUCCCCGAGAAGCCGGAAGGCCAACACUGGGGCUUGGUGUGGGGAGUCCCGGCUCAUGACCUGAGCCAAAGGAGUCUGCCAGGAAUCUCUCUCUGCUCCCCAGCCCCUCCAUUCAGAAUCCUCCUGUGAUUUCCCCCACAUCCCCCUCCCCCCCCCCGCCCCACCCCAGCCCCACCCAUCUGAUGGGGGCUGGUCUGCCAUGCAGAAUCCCAGAGUCCAAGGGCUGUGUCUUUCAACCAUUCCUCUGUCCCUGGCACUCACUGAACACAGCGCUCUGCACACAGUAGGCUGUGUUAGUCUACUUGGGCUUCUGUAACAAAAACACUGAAGACUGGGUGGCCUAUAGGAAACGGAAAUUUAUUUCCCACAGUAUUGGGGGCUGGGAAGUGCAAGACCAAGGUGCCAACAGAUUCAGUGUCUGGUGAGAGCGCACCUCCUGGUUUGCAGACAGCCAUUUUCUUGCUGUGUCCUCUUAGGGUGGACGGGGCUGAGGGAUUUCUCUUUGGGUCUCAUUUGUAAGGGCAAGGAUCCUAUUCAUAGGGCUUCCACCCAGGUAACCUAUUCACCUUCCAAAGGCCUCACCUCCACCUUAGGGGUGAGGUUUUAAUGUACGAAUUCUGGAGGGACACAUUUGGUCUAGAACACAGGUGCUCUGAAAGAAAUGAAUGAAUUAAUAAAACUGUCCAGUAUUGCCACAGAUAUAUACAGGUGAAAAGAAAAUCUGGUGUGAUCCGGAGAGUUCACUCAUUAAAAAUUCAGUAAAAGAGGCAAAGGUAUAUAAAAGUAGAAGAAUGUGUACUGCAGUACCUUUUAAUGGCAGAACGCCAGAAAGAAUCCAAAUGCCCAACAAGCAAGAGAACAGAGGGACCAAUUCCGGUAUAUUCUUAAAGGGAAGGUACCACACGGCCGUGAAAAGUAAUGAACUAGAACUCUAUGCAUCAGCUUGGAUAAAUCUCAGAAAUUAGAGCAUUGAGUAAAAAAGCCAAAAAGCUGGCUGCAAGAUAAUAAAUAAGCUAAUUGCAAAAGGACACAUACAUAAUACUAGUUCAUAAAAUUCAGAACUAUGGAAGACAAUUCAGUAUAUUUUUAUGAGCACCUACAUGUACAGUAAAAGCAGAGAAACUCUGAAUACCAAGUUCAGGAGAGAGUUUAUGGCUGUGGGGGGAGAAAGAGGGCAGCAAAGAUCCCAGAGCACUUUCAUUGUGUCUUUAAUGUUCUACUUCUGAUGCCGUUUGGUGGAUACAUAGUUUUAUUGUUUUUUGGAUUUUCUAUUGUAUGCCUGAAAUAUUUUAUUUUAUUUUUUAUUUUUAUUAUUUUUUUAAGAUUUUAUUUAUUUAUUUGAUGGAGAGAUCACAAGUAGGUGAGGAGGCAGGCAGGGGGUGGGGGGAAGGAGCAGGCUCCCUGCCAAGCAGCCCCGAAUGGGCUUGAUCCCAGGACCCUGAGAUCAUGACCUGAGCUGAAGGCAGAGGCUUAACCCACUGAGUCACCUAGGUGCCCCCCUGUAUGCCUGAAAUAUUUUAUUAAAGAAAAAAAACCCAAGCUAGCUGUUGAGAGUGAAGGCCUAAUUCCUAUCUCCAUUCAGAUAUUCGCUAUGUGUCUCGAACAAGCGAUUUAAUCUCUGAGCUUCGGUUUCCUCAACAUUACAAUAGGGAUAAUAAAUCUUGGAAGAAUUAAGUGACAUCAUGGGUGUAAAUUGCUUAAAGCAAUGGAAGUAUUCAACAAAUGAUAACUAUUCAUAUCAUAAUUAAUUAUCAAUAGCAGUUAGUUUCAAAUUAUUUGAAAACUGGAGACAUCCAAGAAGAUCAGCCAUUUUAAAAAAGAUUUUAUUGUUAAGUAAUCUCUACACCCAACAUGGGGCUUGAACUUAAAACCCUGAGAUCAAGAGUCACAUGCUGCACCGACUGAGCCAGCCAGGCACACCCAAGAUCAACCACUUCUAACCUGUCUUCAGAGAUGACACCCCAAGACUUGAGAGGUUGGGAAGCUGUCUGAGGUCAUGGGGGGCAUGGGAGGCAGCACUGAGGAUGGGAGGUGUGCAGAGGACCCCCGUCUGGGUAAGGUGCUGAGCAGGUCUCUGUUCCAAAGUGCUUCCCUCAAAACCUCACUUCCUUCUAGGGAACCAACAAUGGUCACAUGGGGACCUACUAAAACAGGGACACAGGUCCUAGAGGUACCCGGACAGGUUCUAAUGUGGCUUCCUAAUCCCAAGGCCUAUUUAUGUCACCAUGAAAGAGAUGGAGAAGAAUAAUGUCACAAGGGCAUCCCUUUCUAUUUUAUAUAACUAUAUUUUUAAAUAUUUUAAUUAUUUAUUUGUCACAGAGAUAUCACAAGUAGGCAGAGAGGCAGGCAGAAAGAAAGGGGGAAGCAGGCUCCCCACUGAGCAGAGAGCCUGAUUCGGGGCUCCACCCCAGGACCCUGAGAUCAUGACCCAAGCCAAAGGCAGAGGCCCAACCCACUGAACCACCCAGUUGCCCCCUAUUUUAUAUAUUUUUAGUAAAAAAUCUGAUGCCUAAC